rnacentral:rRNA from 1 species
CUACGGGAUGCACCAGUGAGGAAUAUUGCACAAUGGGGGGAACCCUGAUGCAACAACGCCGCGUGGAGGAUGACGCAUUUCGGUGUGUAAACUCCUUUUAUAUGUCAAGAAAAUGACGGUAGCAUAUGAAUAAGCACCGGCUAACUCCGUGCCAGCAGCCGCGGUAAUACGGAGGGUGCAAGCGUUAGCUCGGAAUCACUGGGCGUAAAGGACGCGUAGGCGGGUUGGAAAGUCAGGUGUGAAAUCCUACAGCUUAACUGUAGAACUGCACUUGAAACUUCUAAUCUAGAGUAUGGGAGGGGGAGAUGGAAUUAGUGGUGUAGGGGUAAAAUCCGUAGAUAUCACUAGGAAUACCUAAAGCGAAGGCGAUCUCCUGGAACAUUACUGACGCUAAGGCGUGAAAGCGUGGGGAGCAAACAGGAUUAGAUACCCGGGUAGUC